GGGCAAGGGGGGGGGCUACACAUGCAGUCGAGCGCUACAUGCAUGCCAGUGCUGUGUGCUCGUGGAUGAUUGCCGAACAGGGGAGUGACACACGUAUGACCUGUGCCCGCCUUACUGGUAUAACUGGGAAACUGGGUCUAUUAUAGGAUAUAACUUCUGUCACGCCAUUGCUGAAUAAGGAAAGACUGAUACUGCUGUCACUUGGGGAUGGGCCUGCGGCGCAUUAUCUAGUUGGUGGGGUAACGGCUCACCAAGGCGACGAUGCGUAGCCGACCUGAGAGGGUGAACGGCCACACUGGGACUGAGACACGGCCCAGACUCCUACGGGAGGCAGCAGUAGGGAAUCUUCCGCAAUGGGCGAAAGCCUGACGGAGCAACGCCGCGUGAGUGAUGAAGGUUUUCGGAUCGUAAAGCUCUGUUGCCAAGGAAGAACGUCUUCUAGAGUAACUGCUAGGAGAGUGACGGUACUUGAGAAGAAAGCCCCGGCUAACUACGUGCCAGCAGCCGCGGUAUACGUAGGGGGCAAGCGUUGUCCGGAAUUAUUGGGCGUAAAGCGCGCGCAGGCGGUUCUUUAAGUCUGGUGUUUAACCCGAGGCUCAACUUCGGGUCGCACUGGAACUGGGGGACUUGAGUGCAGAAGAGGAGAGUGGAAUUCCACGUGUAGCGGUGAAAUGCGUAGAUAUGUGGAGGAACACCAGUGGCGAAGCGACUCUCUGGGUGUACUGACGCUGAGGCGCGAAACGUGGGAGCAACAGGAUUAGAUACCCUGGUAGUCCACGC
rnacentral:rRNA from 1 species